UGAGGAGGAGCAGCCAGAGAAGCCCUGGGCGGCAGCAGUCAGGAAAGCUGGGCUUUUCCUGCUCUGUGCCCUACUUUCUGGCUGCCCUUGGACAGGUCACGCCUGUCUCUGGGCUCCGUUUGUUUGCCUGAUGUCGUUCCCCCUUUCCAUCCUUGCCCCUGGGUAGAGUCCAGUCCCUAUCUGGCAACCAGCGUGACUUAGACACCACUUGGCUCCUGGCGGCGGCUGCCCAUCUCACCCAGAGAAGGACCCAGGUGAGGUGGGCGCCCUGUGCCAUCUGCCCCCUCCCUGCUGCCUGCUUUGCUCCAAUCACUGAGCUUCUUGCUGUUCCUUGGACACAACAGGCAUGUGCCCGCUGUUCCCUGUGCCUGCAUCGUCCCAUCCAACCCCUGCACUCCAGAUAGCCUCACCACUCAAAUGUCACUUUCUCAAUAACACCUGCUCUGACCGCCAUAUUGAACACCCAAUCUCUCCAGCACGGCCAUCUCUGUUCUAUUUCUCCAGGUCCCUGGCAUUCACUCUAUGAUUGAUUGGACUUCUUGUCUGCCUCCCCCACACUUCCCCCUGUGGAAUGUGAGCUCCACAGGGCGAGGACCUCUGUAGACGCGCUACGUUCGCCUGGUGCAGGACAGAUGCGCAAUCACUCUGGUGAGUGUGGAAUGUAUCACUGGCUUGUGGAUUCCUGGUGGGACACGGAGGGAGGGAGGAACCCCAGGGUGUGAGACGCAUGACCAGGGGUGACUAAGUGCAGGCUCAUGGCAGAGGGGACCCUCUGGUGGCUGGGCUGGCUUUGCUUUUCUAUCCUGUUAGAACCUGGAGAGACAUUUAAGUCCCUUUUAUCUCCAUGAGAAUGGGCCCCUGCUGAGAACACCCAUACUGGGGGAUGGUGUCAACAGAGAUGUCUCAGGCCAGUCUGAGUCCCACAGAAUUGACUGAGACACAAAGGAUGCCUUGUCCAAAGUUCCAACUGCAGCAUAGAGGUACAGGACCCGGGUGACAUGGCUGCAGCUGCAGGCACGCAGACAGUCUUCAAGAAAUGCAGGACCAGUGUGUGGAAGCUGGAUUACCUUUAUGUUAGGUGACUUUAGAGCAGGGAUUGCAGGUAACUGAAAAACCCACUCCAAGCCGAUGGUGAAUAUCACUAGGAUCACAGACACUUCCCUAUAGAGCCAGAUGGAGCCUCAGAAUCCCUCAACACCGUGUCCAAACUUCCCAACCCAACUUAAUGGAGUUGACAUGAGAUAAAACAGUGGGACUAGAACACACGAAUAGGCGAACAGGUCAAAGACUGAAAGCCAUUCCCAUCAAGAAAAAGCAUUUUGGGCUGUGGCUGUGGCUCAGUGGUAGAGCGCUUGCCUAGCAUGUGUGAGGCGCUGGGUUCGAUCCCCAGCACCACAUUUAAAAAAAAAAAAAAAACUAAACAAAAUAAAGGCAUUGUGUCCAUCUACAAAGACAAGAGAAGGCAUUUUGUUGGAAGCAAAGCUGGUGUAACUUUCCCUGGAGAAGGGGACAGUGAGUUUCUCCUCACUAUUGAAGAGGAGGGUGUAGCUCUUCCCGAUUUCCACGCUGGCAACCCAUGGCCAGGAAAGUUUCCAAAUCCUCACUGGCACAUGGUAGACACAAUUCCAGCUCUGAGUUCAGAUCUGUACUUAUAUCUACCGGGGCACCUUAGCAGCCAAGGACACUGACUUGUGCUGGAAAAUGGGAGAGAGUAGACACUACGGUAGACGGUGCCCUGUAAAAGCUCCACGGUUGCUGACAGGAAGUUCCACCAUGUUUUCUGCUAACCAUGUUUCCACUUUAAUGGCUGUUGCUGGUGCUGCUUCCCCUGGGUUUUGCUCAAAUACUAUCUAAACUCCAGAUUUGGUGAUUCGUCCUGUAGCCCUCCUGCCAUAGGGUCCCUUUCGUCUCCUUGUGGCCAGGCCCGGUGAGCUCCGACCCCAGGGCCCUCACCUGCGUUCCCUGACAGGCACUGGGAGCCUCUGGCUCCCCUACAGGACACUACAGAAGACACUGGGCUCUUUCUCUCUACUUAAUUAUACCACGCGGCUGCCCCUAAUGGUGCAGGGGUGCCCUGUUAAGGCAUUUCCCAUAGGCUGGGAGGGAGCAUGUGGUGGCACUGUCACCUACGUUCCCUUGUUCCCUUCUGCCAGCUGUUUCUUCCUGUCAGAGUGCUGUUCUGGGACUUCCACUCUGAAUCCCUCCUUGGCACAUUGCCUUCUCUUCCCUCUUCUUUCCUGGCCUCCCUGUUCCCUCCGUUGGGAGCUCACCUUCUUGCUCUCCGCCAUCUUCCCUAUAACUUGAAUUCAUGGGAGAACUCCAACUCGGAGACCACCAAGCUCCGUUCUUGAAGUAAGGAAGUGUUUAUCAUCUAAAGAACUUUUCAACAAAGCCUGUCUUUUCAAGGGUGCUCUUUUGCUAUUGCCUCCCAAUUCUAGUUUCACUGGAAGUGGGACAAUGACUUUGUUUUUGAUCUGGACUCCAGGCAGUUCUCUUUGACAGGAUGAAGUUCAUUGAUUUAAUGGGUGGGGAGCCACAGGACAAAAAGACUCACAGAAAGAAAAGCACACGAAUUUCUAUCUUCCAAAAGCCAUCUUCCUCUGAAAUAACCAGAGUGCACACAAGUGAUUAAUUAUCAGAGUGUUUAUUAUAGCAUUAUUCGUAACUAAACUAAAAUUGGAAACAAAUUGAAUGUCCAACAAGAGGGGAUUAUAAAUUGUGAGUUUUAAGUGAUACUGUAGAUGUUAACUUACAUCCGUAAACUUUUAAAAAACGUUUUUGGGUGAAGAAAGUCCAAUAUAAAACAGCAUAUUCAGUUUGAUGACAUUCUGUAAAAUGUGUAAGUGUCUCUCUUUGUAAAAUAAAAUGAGUACUUUUUAUUUUCUUUGUUCUCUUUCCAAAUUUACUAGUGAACAUGGUUAGUUUUUUGGUUGGAAAUAAAUGACUAAUAAAUGCUCUGUUUGGUUUUAGGAAGAGAAAACAUAGGUGCAUCUCUCCAUGGAGAGGACUAGGGUGCAGAGGAUGAGGUGCCAUCGAGCUCCUCCAAUUCUGAGCGAUUCUGGUUCUCUGCUCCGCCAGCUUUGGCAUCCAGCCCAGCAGCGUGAUGAGAGCCUGGAAGUGUCUUCUCCAGGCUCCGUGGCUCCCAGGCCUUGGAUGAUGGCCAGUGCUCCAACCAGCACAGAGAGUGCCUGCUCCCCACGACGCUCCCCACCCUAGGAAAGCUCCUAUUUAUUAACAGUCAUGGUGCCAAGAGAGCUUUCUGCCUGUGCCCAAGCCCCGAGUACCAUGGAGCUUCAAUCUUUUAUGAAACAGCUUUUCAUUUCUUCCUUCUCUACGAAGGGCUUUCACAAGCCACCGAGUGGUUCUUUGCCCAUCAAUUUUUAAUCUUGCUCAAGUUUUAUUUUCCACUUGACCAAUGCUCCGUUCAUAAAUAACACAUCAAAACUUUGCUCCAAUUCCUUCUGUAGGUUUGGUUUGUUUGUGUUUAUUUUUAAACGGUCUCCUGUUGGGGAGGAAGGAAGUGGUUACCCCCGUGUGCAGACUUUUCCAUGGCUCCUGACUGCCAACCAGACGUGGCCCACUGUCUGUCUCAGCAUGGCACCUGAGACUGCCCACGAUCGGUGCCAUCAUCCUGGCUAGAUCCUCUCCUGGUUCUUCCAACACGCCCCGGAAGCCAGGAACAUUGCUGAUCCAGAACAUGGUCCACUCCCCAGCCUUCCUCCCUCUGUUCACCCCAUGUCCUCUACUGGGGGAGCUGGCAAGAGCCGGAGUGAUUACUGUCUGUUUACCAUGUUUUUAUCUGAUUCUCUCUGAAGUAUGUUUCCAUUUCUAAUGACCUAAACUGCCUUGUCCCUUUGAAGGAUAGCUGUAUUGUGAUCAAGUUCUGACUGGAGGUGAGACAGGUCUCUGAAUUAUAGCCUGUGGCACGAGUGAAAAUCAGUAUUGACUUUUCCACCAAGUAGAGGGUGAUGCCCACCUAACAGGUCAGUAAUGAGCAUUAAAUACCGUUGUAUAGGUAGAAGCACUAGAGAUGGACCUGGUGUAUUGUAGACUUCCAUACUUACCAAAAUCUGAGUGUUGGGGGCAAUAUUUGUGUGUCUUGCUGCUUGGGUGUGUUUGAAAUAGCUGGUUCUUCACCACCUAGAUGCGACAGUUGUUAACACUUGAUCCCUAUGUGCUUUGUCUGUCUACCUGUCUUUAUUCAUCUCUCCAUUCACAGUGCUAUAUCGUUAAUAUAACAUUAGCAAUAAUUCCAAAUUAUCAUUGCUAUAGUUUAUAUCUAAAAUGUCCCUCAAAGGCCCAUGUAUUAAACAGUUCAUUCCCCAGCUUGGUGUUAUUGGGAGAUAGUAGAAAUUUUAAGAGAUGGGAUCAGAUGGGGAGUUUUAGACCACAGGGUGCAUACCCUUGAAAGGGGAUUAGGAGUUUCUGUUCUUCUCCUCUCUUUGUCACCUCCCACCAUUUGUUUUUUUGCUCCUGCCAUGAUGUUCUGCCACAGCCCAUAGCAAUGGAAUCAAUCAACAAAGAACUGAAACCUCUUAAAACUGUGAGCCAAAAUGAACCUUUCUCUUGGUAACUUGAUUAUGUCAGGUAUUUUGUUACCGUCAUGAAAAACUGACUAAUACAAUUAUUUCAUAUUUAAUCUUCAUUAAAAAUCCCCAAUUAUACCCAAAAUAUUUUUUAUAAUUUUCCCCCAACCAAGAUCCAAGCAAGUUUCAUACAUUGUUAUUUGGUUGUUA
rnacentral:tRNA from 1 species